rnacentral:rRNA from 1 species
GACGAACGCGGCGGCGUGCCUAAUACAUGCAAGUCGAACGAACCGCGACUGAGUGCUUGCACUUGGUCAAGGUGAGUGGCGAACGGGUGAGUAACACGUGGGUAACCUACCUCAUAGUGGGGGAUAACAGUCGGAAACGACUGCUAAUACCGCAUAGGACAUGGAAUCACAUGAUUCUGUGAGGAAAGGUGGCGCAAGCUAUCGCUAAGAGAUGGACCCGCGGUGCAUUAGCUAGUUGGUAGGGUAACGGCCUACCAAGGCGAUGAUGCAUAGCCGACCUGAGAGGGUGAUCGGCCACAUUGGGACUGAGACACGGCCCAAACUCCUACGGGAGGCAGCAGUAGGGAAUCUUCCGCAAUGGACGCAAGUCUGACGGAGCAACGCCGCGUGAGUGAAGAAGGUCUUCGGAUCGUAAAGCUCUGUUGUUAGAGAAGAACAGCGCAUAGAGUAAACUGUUAUGCGUGUGACGGAU